AACGAACGCUGGCGGCAUGCCUAACACAUGCAAGUCGAACGAGACCUUCGGGUCUAGUGGCGCACGGGUGCGUAACGCGUGGGAACCUGCCCUUAGGUUCGGAAUAACUCCCCGAAAGGGGUGCUAAUACCGGAUAAUGUCUUCGGACCAAAGAUUUAUCGCCUUUGGAUGGGCCCGCGUUGGAUUAGCUAGUUGGUAGGGUAAAAGCCUACCAAGGCGACGCUCCAUAGCUGGUCUGAGAGGAUGAUCAGCCACACUGGGACUGAGACACGGCCCAGACUCCUACGGGAGGCAGCAGUGGGGAAUAUUGGACAAUGGGCGAAAGCCUGAUCCAGCAAUGCCGCGUGAGUGAUGAAGGCCUUAGGGUUGAAAAGCUCUUUUACCCGGGAUGAUAAUGACAGUACCGGGAGAAUAAGCUCCGGCUAACUCCGUG
rnacentral:rRNA from 1 species